AUUGAACGCUGGCGGCAGGCCUAACACAUGCAAGUCGAACGAGUGGCGGACGGGUGAGUAAUGUCUGGGAAACUGGCUGAUGGAGGGGGGUAACUACUGGAAACGGUAGCUAAUACCGCAUACCAUCAGAUGUGCCCAGAUGGGUUUAGCUUGUGGGGGGGGUAACGGCUCACCAGGGCGACGAUCCCUAGCUGGUCUGAGAGGCUGAACAGCCAAACUGGAACUGAGACAGGUCCCAGACUCCUACGGGAGGCAGCAGGGGGAAAUAUUGCACAAUGGGCGCAAGCCUGAUGCAGCCAGGCGGCGUGGAUGAAGAAGGCCUUCGGGUUGAAAAGUACUUUCAGCGGGGAGGCGUUACCCGCAGAAGAAGCACCGGCUAACUCCGUGCCAGCAGCCGCGGUAAUAC
rnacentral:rRNA from 1 species